UACGGAGGGUGCGAGCGUUGUCCGGAAUCAUUGGGCGUAAAGGGCGCGUAGGUGGCCACUAUAAGGCCGCGGUGAAAGUUCGGGGCUCAACCCUGAAUCUGCCGCGGCGACUGUAGGGCUAGGGCACCGUAGAGGCAGAUGGAAUUCCGGGUGUAGCGGUGGAAUGCGUAGAGAUCCGGAAGAACACCGGUGGCGAAGGCGGUCUGCUGGGCGGUGAACCCGCAAGGGUUCAAUAGCCGACACUGAGGCGCGACAGCGUGGGGAGCAAACAGG
rnacentral:rRNA from 1 species